rnacentral:rRNA from 1 species
UACGAAGGGGGGCUAGCGUUGCUCGGAAUCACUGGGCGUAAAGCGCACGUAGGCGGCUUUUUAAGUCAGGGGUGAAAUCCUGGAGCUCAACUCCCAGUAACUGCCUUUGAUACUGAGAGCUUGAGUCCGGGGAGAGGUGAGUGGAACUGCGAGUGUAGAGGUGAAAUUCGUAGAUAUUCGCAAGAACACCAGUGGCGAAGG